GUAUGCCAAGAGAAAAUGGAGGCUGAGACUUCUUCUUCUGUCCUUGGAAAUGCAGAUGAAAAGUGCUCUGAGGAAGACAGCAGAAGAAACAGAGAUGAUGCCACUGCAAGAGAGGAUGUGGAUUUGGAAAGUAAAUCUCAAGAAGCUGAAGAAGCUGUAGCUGCAGAGGCCACAGGUAGAGGACGUUGGCAGA